UGGGGAAUAUUGGACAAUGGGCGAAAGCCUGAUCCAGCCAUGCCGCGUGUGUGAAGAAGGUCUUCGGAUUGUAAAGCACUUUAAGUUGGGAGGAAGGGCAGUAAAUUAAUACUUUGCUGUUUUGACGUUACCGACAGAAUAAGCACCGGCUAACUCUGUGCCAGCAGCCGCGGUAAUACAGAGGGUGCAAGCGUUAAUCGGAAUUACUGGGCGUAAAGCGCGCGUAGGUGGUUCGUUAAGUUGGAUGUGAAAUCCCCGGGCUCAACCUGGGAACUGCAUUCAAAACUGACGAGCUAGAGUAUGGUAGAGGGUGGUGGAAUUUCCUGUGUAGCGGUGAAAUGCGUAGAUAUAGGAAGGAACACCAGUGGCGAAGGCGACCACCUGGACUGAUACUGACACUGAGGUGCGAAAGCGUGGGGAGCAAACAGGAUUAGAUACCCCGGUAGUCCCUGAGCGGGCUGGCAAGGCGCAU
rnacentral:rRNA from 1 species